rnacentral:rRNA from 1 species
GAUGAACGCUGGCGGCGUGCCUAAUACAUGCAAGUCGAGCGGACCAAAGAGAGCUUGCUCUCUGAGGUUAGCGGCGGACGGGUGAGUAACACGUGGGUAACCUGCCUGUAAGACGGGGAUAACUUCGGGAAACCGAAGCUAAUACCGGAUGAUAAAGAGAAACGCCUGUUUCUUUUUUGAAAGUCGGCCUUGUGCUGACGCUUACAGAUGGGCCCGCGGCGCAUUAGCUAGUUGGUGAGGUAACGGCUCACCAAGGCGACGAUGCGUAGCCGACCUGAGAGGGUGAUCGGCAACACUGGGACUGAGACACGGCCCAGACUCCUACGGGAGGCAGAAGUAGGGAAUCUUCGGCAAUGGACGAAAGUCUGACCGAGCAACGCCGCGUGAGCGAUGAAGGCCUUCGGGUCGUAAAGCUCUGUUGUCAGAGAAGAACAAGUACCGGAGUAACUGCCGGUACCUUGACGGUACCUGACCAGAAAGCCACGGCUAACUACGUGCCAGCCGCCGCCGUAA